rnacentral:rRNA from 1 species
CCUACGGGUGGCAGCAGUGAGGAAUAUUGGUCAAUGGACGAGAGUCUGAACCAGCCAAGUAGCGUGAAGGAUGACUGCCCUAUGGGUUGUAAACUUCUUUUAUAUGGGAAUAAAAUGGUCCACGUGUGGGACUUUGUAUGUACCAUACGAAUAAGGUGCGGCGAACCCCGUGCCAGCAGCCGCGGUAAUACGGAGGAUCCGAGCGUUAUCCGGAUUCAUUGGGUUUAAAGGGAGCGUAGGUGGAUUGUUAAGUCAGUUGUGAAAGUUUGCGGCUCAACCGUAAAAUUGCAGUUGAAACUGGCAGUCUUGAGUACAGUAGAGGUGGGCGGAAUUCGUGGUGUAGCGGUGAAAUGCUUAGAUAUCACGAAGAACUCCGAUUGCGAAGGCAGUUUCCUGGACUGCAACUGACACUGAGGCUCGAAAGUGUGGGUAUCGAACAGGAUUAGAUACCCCUGUAGUC